rnacentral:rRNA from 1 species
UGGGGAAUCUUGGACAAUGGGGGCAACCCUGAUCCAGCGACGCCGCGUGAGUGAAGAAGGCCCUAGGGUUGUAAAACUCUUUCAGCGGGGAAGAUAAUGACGGUACCCGCAGAAGAAGCCCCGGCUAACUCCGUGCCAGCAGCCGCGGUAAUACGGAGGGGGCUAGCGUUGUUCGAAAUUACUGGGCGUAAAGCGCACGUAGGCGGUUCAGACAGUCAGGCGUGAAAGCCCCGGGCUUAACCUGGGAACUGCGCUUGAUACUACUGAGCUAGAGUCCGGGAGAGGGUAGUGGAAUUCCCAGUGUAGAGGUGAAAUUCGUAGAUAUUGGGAAGAACACCAGUGGCGAAGGCGGCUACCUGGACCGGUACUGACGCUGAGGUGCGAAAGCGUGGGGAGCAAACAGGAUUAGAUACCCCUGUAGUCC